CUUUGCUCAUUUGAAGUCUCCUCUUGCAGAGUAUAGAUGGUGAUAUGCACUGGGCCACCGUACCAAAAAAUCAUCUAAAUGCAACAGCCCUUCGGUUAAAACAAUGGAUGUUUGAGGUUGUUGGGAAGGGUCACUUCAAAGAUGAAUUUGUGACAGCUGGAGGUGUUCCACUUUCAGAGAUAUCGCUUAGCACUAUGGAAAGCAAGAAGCAGCCCAAUCUGUUCUU